rnacentral:rRNA from 1 species
UCCGGUGGUCUUAGCGGAGGGGUCACACCUGGCUCCAUUCCGAACCCAGCAGUUAAGCCCUCCAGCGCCGAUGGUACUGCCCUGGAGACGGGGUGGGAGAGUAGGACGCCGCCGGGA